UUCAUUGUGCCAAAAAGUUGCCAUGACUGUCAUUAAACCUGUUUAACACCAAAUAAUAAGGAAAAUAAAAUAAAAAAUUCGGGCUUGGUGCAGAAACUCACUCCAAAUACAUUACCUUUAAAAAUAUUUAUAUAAUGGUAGAAAUAUUCCAAAAUUCCAUAUUUUGAGAUUUAUACACAAAAGAUAAACAAAUUAGAGGCCAAGAAAAACGGGGCCUGGAAAGGCCGUUGUGAGGAAUGAGCUGGGCCUAAAGAGGCCACUGGCAGGCAGGAGCUGGGACUGCCAAAGCGGCCGAAAGGCAGGAGCUUUGGACUGGGGAGGCCGCAGUGAGGCGAGAGCUAGCUGGGCGUGGAGAGUCCACUGUGAGGCUGAGGCUGGGCCUGUGCAGGCCUUCGAGAGGCAGGAAGCCAGGCCUGCAAAGGCCGACUGGAGGUCAAGUUCUGGGCCUGAAGAGGCCACCAAAAGUCAAAAGCGGGGCCUGGGAAGGCCACUGAGAGCCACGAGCUGGGCUGGGCCGAAAGAGGCCACUGGGAGGCAGGAGAAGCUGGGCCUGGAGAGGCUGACUCGAGGAAGUUUUGCACCGGGAGAGGCCGCCGAGAGGACGGAGCUGGGCCCGGGGAGGCCAACUUGCAGCUCUUCCAGGCCCACUUCCAGGCCAACUUAAGGACGACUUAGGCCUGCAGAGGCCGCCGGGAGGCUGGAGCUGGGCCUGGAGAGGCCGACUUCAGCACGAUUUAGGCCUGCAGAGGUCGCCGGGAGGCCCAAGCUGGGCCUAGAGGAGCCCACCGACCGGAGGCCGUUUGGGGCCUGGAGAUGCCGUCGGAGGGCAGGAGCUGAGCCUGGCGAGGCCACCGUGAGGCCUGACCUGGGCCUGGGGAGCUUGGCUUCAGGAAGUUGUGGGCCUACCAGGGCCACUGGGAGCUGGGCGGGAGCUGAGUCCAAAGACAUUGUUGGGAGGCCGGAGUCGCCAGGAGGCCCAAGCUGGGCGUGGAGGAGCCCACCGACCGGAGACCAUUUGGGGCCUGGAGACGCCAUUGGAGGGCAGGAGCUGAUCCUGGAGAGGCCACCGUGAGGCCUGACCUGGGCCUGGGGAGCUUGGCUUCAGGAAGCUGUGGGCCGACCAAGGCCGCCAGGAGAUGGGCAGGCGCUGAGUCCAAAAAGGUUGUUGGGAGGCAGCAGUCGGGCCUGGAGACGCAGCCGGGAGGAAGAGCUGGGCCCGGAGAGGAUGCCGGGAGGCUGCAAGUGAGUCUGGAGAGGCCGACUUGAGGAGGCCCGGCCUCUGCCUCCCGCAUGGUGGCCUCUGCAGGCCCAGCUGUUCCUCCUGGCUGCAUCUCUCGGCCCAGCUCCUGCCUCCCAGCAAGCAAGCUCUUUUGGCUCAGCUCCCGCCGGUGUUUGUAGACCCCGAAGUUUCUGCAGCCAAGCUCUUCAGGCCCACAUACUGCCUCCCAGUGGCCUGUAGAGUCCCAGCUCUGGCAGCAGAAGAGCAUCUGCAGGCCCCGCUGUUGCCUCCCAGGGGCGUCUCCAGGCCCAGCUCUCGCCCCACCGCAGCCUCUCGGGGCCAAGUCCCUGCCUGCUCCCGGCAGCCUGCGUGCAGUCCUGCUCCUCCCUCACGGUGGCCUGUUGAGGCAGGGGCUCACGCUGACCUCUCUCCGCGUGGGAGGGGCCAGUGUGAGGCAAGGGGUCAGCGUGGGAGGGGCCCGUGUGAGGCAAGGGGUCAGCGUGGGAGGGGCCCGUGUGAGGCAAGGGGUCAGCAUGGGAGGGGCUGGUGUGAGGCAAGGGGUCAGCGUGGGAGGGGCCGGUGUGAGGCAAGGGGUCAGCGUGGGAGGGGCCGGUGUGAGGCAAGGGGUCAGCGUGGGAGGGGCCGGUGUGAGGCAAGGGGUCAGCAUGGGAGGGGCCGGUGUGAGGCAAGGGGUCAGCAUGGGAGGGGCCGGUGUGAGGCAAGGGGCUCACGCCGACCUCUCUCAGCGUGGGAGGGGCCGGUGUGAGGCAAGGGGCUCAUGCCGACCUUCCUCAGCGUGGGAGGGGUCGGUGUGAGGCAGGGACUCACGCCUCUGGGCAGGGUGCCAGAGGCAUGAGUUGGGCAUCAACAGGCCACCGUGAGGGAGGAGCUGGGCCGCACGCGGGCUGCUGGGAGGCAGGCAGGGACUUGUCCCCGGGAGGCUGCCGUGGGGGCGAGAGCUGGGCCUGGAGAGGCCCCUGGGAGGCAAGAGCGGGACCUGCAGAGGCUGUUCUACAGCCAAAGCUGGGCCUGUACAGGCCACCGAGAGGCAGUAGGUGGGCCCGAAGAGCUUGGCUGGAGAAAGUUCGGGGCCUACAAAGGCGGCUGGGAGCUGGGCAGGAGUUGAGCCAAAAGGGCUUGCUUACUUGCUGGGAGGCAGGGCCGGGAGACGCCGACUUCAGGACGACUUGGGCCUGCAGAGGUCACCGGGAGGCCCAAGCUGGGCGUGGAGGAGCCCACCGACCGGAGACCAUUUGGGGCCUGGAGACGCCAUCGGAGGGCAGGAGCUGAUCCUGGAGAGGCCACCGUGAGGCCUGACCUGGGCCUGGGGAGCUUGGCUUGAGGAAGCUGUGGGCCGACCAAGGCCGCCAGGAGAUGGGCAGGCGCUGAGUCCAAAGAGGUUGUUGGGAGGCAGCAGUCGGGCCUGGAGACGCAGCCGGGAGGAAGAGCUGGGCCCGGAGAGGACGCCGGGAGGCUGCAAG
rnacentral:lncRNA from 1 species